rnacentral:rRNA from 1 species
AUUGAACGCUGGCGGCAGGCCUAACACAUGCAAGUCGAGCGGAUGAAGGGAGCUUGCUCCUGGAUUCAGCGGCGGACGGGUGAGUAAUGCCUAGGAAUCUGCCUGGUAGCGGGGGAUAACGUCCGGAAACGGGCGCUAAUACCGCAUACGUCCUGAGGGAGAAAGUGGGGGAUCUUCGGACCUCACGCUAUCAGAUGAGCCUAGGUCGGAUUAGCUAGUUGGUGGGGUAAAGGCCUACCAAGGCGACGAUCCGUAACUGGUCUGAGAGGAUGAUCAGUCACACUGGAACUGAGACACGGUCCAGACUCCUACGGGAGGCAGCAGUGGGGAAUAUUGGACAAUGGGCGAAAGCCUGAUCCAGCCAUGCCGCGUGUGUGAAGAAGGUCUUCGGAUUGUAAAGCACUUUAAGUUGGGAGGAAGAGCAGUAAGUUAAUACCUUGCUGUUUUGACGUUACCAACAGAAUAAGCACCGGCUAACUUCGUG